UACGUAGGGUGCGAGCGUUGUCCGGAAUUAUUGGGCGUAAAGGGCUCGUAGGCGGUCUGUUGCGUCGGGAGUGAAAACUCAGGGCUUAACCCUGAGCCUGCUUCCGAUACGGGCAGACUAGAGGUAUGCAGGGGAGAACGGAAUUCCUGGUGUAGCUGUGAAAUGCGCAGAUAUCAGGAGGAACACCGGUGGCGAAGGCGGUUCUCUGGGCAUUACCUGACGCUGAGGAGCGAAAGUGUGGGGAGCGAACAGG
rnacentral:rRNA from 1 species